UCUGGACUACAAUUCCCAAAAUGCCCCGGGAGCGGGCGCACCUCCGGACGCGGUCUCCGCAGCCUGGAGGUGGUAGUGGGGUGGUGCAGAAGUGGGGCUUCGAGUAUUUAAACACACCCGGUCAUGACGCUGGAGACUAGUUUCCCAGCUGCAUGUCCCACUCUCUGGAGCUAUUUUAUCUGGCUUGGCCUCGUGGACCGAGGCACUCUGGGAAUUGUGGUUUCAAACAGGUCUGGAUUGACACCUGAAGGACGCGGCUUAACUGCCUCGCCCCCAGUUGUGCUUGGGAGUUCCCCGACGUCAUGGGAGCAGAGAGCACGCGACUCACGGGACAACUGUUCUGAGACUGGAUUGGACAGCAGGGAUGACAGAACCCCAAAGUCAUGAAUAAACUCCUACCCCUGGUCUCACUGCUGCUGCUGCUGCUGCCGCCGCCGCCGCCGCCGCCGCCGCCGCAUUUCCCUCCAUCUGCUGGAUGGCGGCCCAGGUUCGCCCAGGUUCGAACCUGACAAUAAAAAGACCCUUAUGUGCUUGCAUCAAAAA